UACGGGGGGCAAGCGUUGUUCGGAAUUACUGGGCGUAAAGGGCGCGUAGGCGGUCUCGCAAGUCAGGGGUGAAAUCCCGGAGCUUAACUCCGGAAUUGCUUUUGAUACUGUGGGCUAGAGUGAGUUAGAGGAUGGCGGAAUUCCUAGUGUAGUGGUGAAAUACGUAGAUAUUAGGAAGAACACCGGUGGCGAAAGGCGGCCAUCUGGACGUUAACUGA
rnacentral:rRNA from 1 species